CUGGAUUUGUUUCAUAGUAAGCAGGUCAAAGAAUCAUUUUUCCACUUGAGAAAGGUGGCAUGAAGGCACUUGGUGAACAUUUAUAUAUAUAAGAUCUACAAGUAAAAUUCUGAUUAAACUAUUUUCUAUAUAGGAUCAGCUGUAACUAGACUCUGUAGAAGGUGUGAACAUUCUGGAAUAACACUGUUCACAUUUAUAAAAGCUUCAGAGAUAAUGAGCCUUGCUGGCCACCUGACAGCUUACCACCAGCGUAUUAGCAUCAGCUGUGAGGAACCCAGCACUGACAGAGGAAUGAAGGCUCACCUCCAAAGCCAGUUGGUGGGAAUGAGCAAGUGCUGGAGAAUGCUGGUGGCUCCUUUCUUCCCUCUACCAUUUAGAAGAAAAGCAUGGAAAUUUGUUCUCUCCACUACUGGCUUAUAAAGUCCUUGGGGAUCUUCUUCUUCUUCYUUUUUWUUUUAUUUUAUUUUUUAUUUUUUUCCCCGAAGAGUUUGCACAUCUCUAAUCAAG
rnacentral:lncRNA from 1 species